GAUAAAAAACAGGGGAGCUUGUGGGCAGGCUGAGAGGAAGUAAUCGAACUUCGACCCUUUAACCUGAUGCGGAUAAUGCCGUCGUAGGAAGUCAAAGAGUGAGAUUU
rnacentral:ncRNA from 2 species